rnacentral:rRNA from 1 species
AGAGUUUGAUUAUGGCUCAGGAUGAACGCUAGCUACAGGCUUAACACAUGCAAGUCGAGGGGCAGCAUUAUCGAAGCUUGCUUGAUAGAUGGCGACCGGCGCACGGGUGAGUAACGCGUAUCCAACCUUCCCUAUAGUAGAGAAUAGCCCGGCGAAAGUCGGAUUAAUGCUCUAUGUUGUAUUUAGAAGACAUCUGAAGAAUACCAAAGGUUUACCGCUAUAGGAUGGGGAUGCGUCUGAUUAGGUAGUAGGCGGGGUAACGGCCCACCUAGCCGACGAUCAGUAGGGGUUCUGAGAGGAAGGUCCCCCACAUUGGAACUGAGACACGGUCCAAACUCCUACGGGAGGCAGCAGUGAGGAAUAUUGGUCAAUGGUCGGAAGACUGAACCAGCCAAGUAAGCGUGCAGGAUGACGGCCCUAUGGGUUGUAAACUGCUUUUAUAGGGGAACAAAGUGAGGUACGUGUACUUUUUUGCGUGUACCCUAUGAAUAAGGACCGGCUAAUUCCGUGCCAGCCGCGGC